AGAGUUUGAUCAUGGCUCAGAACGAACGCUGGCGGCGUGCCUAACACAUGCAAGUCGAACGUGAUUAGAGAGCUUGCUCUCUAUGAAAGUGGCGCACGGGUGAGUAACGCGUAGAUAAUCUGCCUGAUGAUCGGGGAUAACACUUCGAAAGGGGUGCUAAUACCGGAUAAGCCCACGGUGUCUUUGGACACUGCGGGAAAAGGGGGGGACCUUCGGGCCUUCUGUCAUCAGAUGAGUCUGCGUACCAUUAGCUAGUUGGUAGGGUAAAGGCCUACCAAGGCGACGAUGGUUAGCUGGUCUGAGAGGAUGAUCAGCCACACUGGAACUGAGACACGGUCCAGACUCCUACGGGAGGCAGCAGUGGGGAAUUUUGCGCAAUGGGGGAAACCCUGACGCAGCAACGCCGCGUGAGUGAUGAAGGCUCUUGGGUCGUAAAGCUCUGACAGAGGGAAAGAAGUGUAUUGUGGCUAAUAUCCACGAUACUUGACGGUACCUCAAAGGAAGCACCGGCUACUUCGUGCCAGCAGCCGCGGUA
rnacentral:rRNA from 1 species